rnacentral:rRNA from 1 species
GACACGGACCAGACUCCUACGGGAGGCAGCAGUGAGGAAUAUUGGUCAAUGGGCGGGAGCCUGAACCAGCCAAGUCGCGUGAGGGAUGACGGCCCUAUGGGUUGUAAACCUCUUUUGCCGGGGAGCAAAGUGCCGCACGUGUGCGGUUUGGAGAGUACCCGGAGAAAAAGCAUCGGCUAACUCCGUGCCAGCAGCCGCGGUAAUACGGAGGAUGCGAGCGUUAUCCGGAUUUAUUGGGUUUAAAGGGUGCGUAGGCGGACGCUUAAGUCAGCGGUAAAAUUGCGGGGCUCAACCUCGUCGAGCCGUUGAAACUGGGUGCCUUGAGUGGGCGAGAAGUACGCGGAAUGCGUGGUGUAGCGGUGAAAUGCAUAGAUAUCACGCAGAACUCCGAUUGCGAAGGCAGCGUACCGGCGCCCAACUGACGCUGAAGCACGAAGGCGUGGGUAUCGAACAGGAUUAGAUACCCUGGUAGUCCACGCAGUAAACGAUGAAUGCUAGUUGUCCGGGGCGAUUGAGUUCUGG